rnacentral:rRNA from 1 species
CACGUAGUUAGCCGGUGCUUCUUUACCCAUUACCGUCACUCACGCUUCGUCACAGGCGAAAGCGGUUUACAACCCGAAGGCCGUCAUCCCGCACGCGGCGUUGCUGCAUCAGGCUUCCGCCCAUUGUGCAAUAUUCCCCACUGCUGCCUCCCGUAGGAGUCUGGGCCGUGUCUCAGUCCCAAUGUGGCCGGUCACCCUCUCAGGCCGGCUACCCGUCAAAGCCUUGGUAAGCCACUACCCCACCAACAAGCUGAUAAGCCGCGAGUCCAUCCCCAACCGCCGAAACUUUCCAACCCCCACCAUGCAGCAGGAGCUCCUAUCCGGUAUUAGCCCCCAGUUUCCUGAAGUUAUCCCAAAGUCAAGGGCAGGUUACUCACGUGUUACUCACCCGUUCGCCACUCGAGCACCCCACAAAAGCAGGGCCUUUCCGUUCGACUUGCAUGUGUUAAGCACGCCGCCAGCGUUCGUCCUGUAGCCACGGAUCGAAACUACU